AUUUGAGGGUUCCCGAUGGCUAGGGAACCCUGAAAUUAAUGCAAAUAUGCUAAACAGUUGAGCUCAAUGAUAUUUAAUGAAGUGGCUGGGUCUCCGGGGGCCCGGGGAGGUUCUGGGGGCUGGUCCUUACAGCAGAGUGGUCUGAAAUACUGACAUGCAGGCCGAGGUCCAUGGGGACUGCCAGCCCCGGCUCCUGUUACCACCAGUGUUCUGUCAGGUUUUGGUGAGCCAGUGUGAGCCGUUUCCUCAGUUUCCUGUUCUGAUCUAACAGAUGGAGCCCCGGUGUUGUCCUCUGCUGCUAAGCCCAUCUGAUUCUGCAACUUCGAUGCCCUUCUACACACCUUUGUAAUGCGUGGCGGCUACAUGAUUUACUGUUGCCUUCCUAUCAGCAAAUCAACAACCAUGCCACAUUCAAAGUCACUUACAUCACAUUUCAUUCCCAUCCUGAUUCUCAGUUUGACCAUAUCUAAAUGCCUAAAUGUAUUAAAUUGCUGCCAUGUGAAUGGCUGAUUAGAUGUCUG